AAGCAAAGAUAAAAACGCAACGCACGCCCUCGCAGCGUGCCAGAGCCGGUAGGUAGCCCGGCCGUCCUGUCAGUUCUGACGGGGUAAGUAACCCUCCCUCCUUGGGUUGUCCGUUCUUUGCC
rnacentral:ncRNA from 1 species